rnacentral:rRNA from 1 species
UACAGAGGGGGCAAGCGUUGUUCGGAAUUACUGGGCGUAAAGGGCGCGUAGGCGGCCCGCUAAGUCGAACGUGAAAUCCCCGAGCUCAACUCGGGAACUGCGUCCGAUACUGGCGGGCUUGAAUCCGGGAGAGGGAUGCGGAAUUCCAGGUGUAGCGGUGAAAUGCGUAGAUAUCAAGAGGAACACCUGAGGUGAAGACGGGUUGCUAGGCUGACACUGACGCUGAGGCGCGAAAGCCAGGGGAGCAAACGGG